UUGCUUGCUUCGGCAGUACAUAUGCUAAAAUUGGAAUUAAACGGAUAUUAGCAUGGGCCCUGCGCAAAGAUGACAUGCAAAUUUGUGAAGCAUUCUGUAUUUUU
ensembl:snRNA U6 U6 spliceosomal RNA